CGCGUAGGUGGCUUGUCAGGUCCGAUGUGAAAACCUGGGGCUCAACUCCAGGCGUGCAUUGGAAACCGGCUUGCUAGAGUCUGGGAGAGGAGAGUGGAAUUCCUGGUGUAGCGGUGAAAUGCGUAGAUAUCAGGAGGAACACCGGUAGCGAAGGCGGCUCUCUGGAACAGUACUGACACUGAGGCGCGAAAGCUAGGGGAGCGAACA
rnacentral:rRNA from 1 species